AGUGGGGAAUAUUGGACAAUGGGGGCAACCCUGAUCCAGCCAUGCCGCGUGUGUGAAGAAGGCCUUCGGGUUGUAAAGCWCUUUUGUUGGGGAAGAAACCGGCCGGGUUAAUACCCKGGKUGAAUGACGGUACCCAAAGAAUAAGCACCGGCUAACUUCGUGCCAGCAGCCGCGGUAAUACGAAGGGUGCRAGCGUUACUCGGAAUUACUGGGCGUAAAGCGUGCGYAGGCGGUUUGUUAAGUCUGSUGUGAAAKCCCUGGGCUCAACCUGGGAACUGCASUGGAUACUGGCGAGCUAGAGUGUGUCAGAGGAKGGUGGAAUUCCCGGUGUAGCGGUGAAAUGCGUAGAGAUCGGGAGGAACACCAGUGGCGAAGGCGGCCMUCUGGGMCAACACUGACGCUGAGGCACGAAAGCGUGGGGAGCAAACAGGAUUAGAUACCCUGGUAGUCCACGCCCUAAACGAUGYGAACUGGACGUUGGGCRCASUUAGGUGCUCAGUGUCGAAGCUAACGCGUUAAGUCGCCGCCUG
rnacentral:rRNA from 1 species